CCUCAUUUGCUUAAUCAUACCAGUAAACUGGUAGGCAAAACACAAAUGCUGAUGCUCAGGCUAUUUUGAUUUUCAGGAUCUCUUUGCAAAGUACCAAACAGAAAAAGAAUAAAGGUGUCUUUGGGUGUACUAAAAUGUGAAAUAUUUACUAUCUCACCGAUCAAGGACUUGGGUGAAAAUAUUGAAUUUGCUCCAAUUGGUCUGAUUGACAUGUAUAACUCAGGAGGAGCAAUUGAAGAUGUAAUGUACAGUUCCGAUGAUCUUCCAGAUCGUGCAGUAAACGUGAAAACAAGAGGAUGUGGUCAGUUUGGAGCAUAUUCAAGCACAAAACCAAGUUCAUGUAAAGUGGACAUGAACGAUAAUGAUUUCACCUACAAUAAAGAAAAGGGACUAUUGGUGAUAAAUCUGAAGGGUGAUUGCCACACGAGAGAUAUUAAAGUGGUCUAUUAAGAUGAAUGACCUUUGUACGUGAAGAAACUGAAGAGCUUUUCCACAUAGUAGUGGAGAGAAGUUUUAGGAGGUUAACAAAGGGAAUGUGUGCAAAAUAAUUGACUGCAACUUCUCUAGUUUAGUCCUGGAAAUGAUCUUGUUAUCAUGUUAAGAGUAAUGCUGCACUUUUUCAUCCUUGUGAUCGAUUGGCUGCUGGGAUUGGUUUCUCUGCCAAUUUAGCUUGUUAUUUAUUUGCAAUUUAGCCAAUUCAGUUGACUGUAUGUAAGCAGAUCAUGUUAGCAGCAUUCGUUGAGUUUUAUUAUAAGCUCUUCUGUAAUUGUUUCACUGAUAUCAAUACGAUUCAAUAACUUUUGGUUCUUCA